rnacentral:rRNA from 1 species
AUCAGUUUGGUUUGCUUGCAAACCAAAGCUGGCGACCGGCGCACGGGUGAGUAACACGUAUCCAACCUGCCUCAUACUCGGGGAUAGCCUUUCGAAAGAAAGAUUAAUAUCCGAUAGCAUAUAUUUCCCGCAUGGGUUUUAUAUUAAAGAAAUUCGGUAUGAGAUGGGGAUGCGUUCCAUUAGUUUGUUGGCGGGGUAACGGCCCACCAAGACUACGAUGGAUAGGGGUUCUGAGAGGAAGGUCCCCCACAUUGGAACUGAGACACGGUCCAAACUCCUACGGGAGGCAGCAGUGAGGAAUAUUGGUCAAUGGACGCGAGUCUGAACCAGCCAAGUAGCGUGAAGGAUGACUGCCCUAUGGGUUGUAAACUUCUUUUAUAUGGGAAUAAAGUGGUCCACGUGUGGAUUUUUGUAUGUACCAUAUGAAUAAGGAUCGGCUAACUCCGUGCCAGCAGCCGCGGUAAUACGGAGGAUCCGAGCGUUAUCCGGAUUUAUUGGGUUUAAAGGGAGCGUAGGCGGAUUGUUAAGUCAGUUGUGAAAGUUUGCGGCUCAACCGUAAAAUUGCAGUUGAUACUGGCAGUCUUGAGUGCAGUAGAGGUGGGCGGAAUUCGUGGUGUAGCGGUGAAAUGCUUAGAUAUCACGAAGAACUCCGAUUGCGAAGGCAGCUCACUGGAGUGUAACUGACGCUGAUGCUCGAAAGUGUGGGUAUCAAAC